rnacentral:ncRNA from 1 species
UCAAUCCAAAUCACUCACGCCUGUAUAUAAGCGGAUAACCAUAGUAAUUCUAGAGCUAAUACGUGCAAAGAGUCCUGACCUCUGGAAGGGAUGCAGUUACUAGAUUCAAGGCCAAUGCAAGCUUGCCCAUAUUCUCGGUGAUUCAUGGUAACUUGUCAAAUCACGUGGCCCUCGUGCCGGCAAUGCUUCAAUCAAAUUUUUAUCAACUUUCGAUGGUAGGAUAGAGGCCUAUCAUAGUGGUGAUGGAUAAUAGGGUUUUUGGGGUAAUUGA